rnacentral:rRNA from 1 species
GAUGAACGCUGGCGGCGUGCCUAAUACAUGCAAGUCGAGCGAACGGACGAGAAGCUUGCUUCUCUGAUGUUAGCGGCGGACGGGUGAGUAACACGUGGAUAACCUACCUAUAAGACUGGGAUAACUUCGGGAAACCGGAGCUAAUACCGGAUAAUAUUUUGAACCGCAUGGUUCAAAAGUGAAAGACGGUCUUGCUGUCACUUAUAGAUGGAUCCGCGCUGCAUUAGCUAGUUGGUAAGGUAACGGCUUACCAAGGCAACGAUGCAUAGCCGACCUGAGAGGGUGAUCGGCCACACUGGAACUGAGACACGGUCCAGACGCCUACGGGAGGCAGCAGUAGGGAAUCUUCCGCAAUGGGCGAAAGCCUGACGGAGCAACGCCGCGUGAGUGAUGAAGGUCUUCGGAUCGUAAAACUCUGUUAUUAGGGAAGAACAUAUGUGUAAGUAACUGUGCACAUCUUGACGGUACCUAAUCAGAAAGCCACGGCUAACUACGU